rnacentral:tRNA from 1 species
AAAAUUUUAGUUUAAAUUAAAAUAAUUCAUUUACAUUGAAUAGAUUAAUUAAUAAUAAUAUUAAAAUUUUU